CAGGACGUGUUCCUUUGAUGAUUGCCGUUUCAGUGAGCAUCAGCUUUGUGUUCAUCUUCCUGCUUUUCUCUGUCUGGUGGUUUAAGAAGCGUCGGCGCCCACAACAGACUCAGACUCAAGCAGCAGAGCAGUUUUCCAGCCACAUGGCGGCAGAUGAAGCAGAGAAGGACGUCAGCGGCGACGAGGGCCUUCAAUACGAGCACGUCAGCUUCUCAAAGCGGAGAGAUGGAGCUUUGACCGUGUCAGUGCAGGACAACAGACAGCAGGAGGAGACCGUGUACGCACAGGUCAAAGUUCACGGGCAAGAAAGUCAGUCAAGUCAAGUUGCUAACGGCCCCGAGGAUCUGAACGCUAAAGUCAAGAGAAACUAAGUGUUUCUUCACCCUCCACACCCUGCAGAUUAAAUCAUGACAGGAGAACUUCUCACCACAUGAGGCUGAGAGCAGGAGUCUGUUUACUGUAUAAAGACAGAAGCAACGGUCACAAAAUAGAGAAGUAUUUUUUUGUGACCUCCACCCUGCUACAAGUGUAGAAUUUGUACACAUUCUGUUUGAAGUUUGUUCCGUUCAGUCAUUUCUUCACUCACCUCAUCAGCAGGUUCCAGGUCUGACCACCAAACAGGAAGAAGGAGGUCCUUCAUCCUUUCAUGGGGAAUUGAGUGGAGCGUACCUGUAUGGCAGAGAUGAGAGGGAACUAUAUAAUAUUGUUGGAUUCUUGUUCAUUGAUGACUCUGUUGAAACUGUAAGAUGGUGAUGAGUAGCUGCUUUGUGAAUUUGUAUCUUUGUUCCAUUGAUGGUCACAUGGGAGGGGCAGCAGGGACAUCAACAGGUCUCCUGCACACAGAACUAAACCUGAGGAAACAGAGCUAACCACUGCGCCACUGUGCCUCAGCACACUUUACAGCGAUAUGUUUAAAGUCCUUUUUUUCUCAUUUAUUUCUGUUUGUAAAUCAUGUUUGCUUUUCUGCCAUAUUUGAUGUUCUUUUCUAUUUAUUCUGUGUGAAGCAACAUUGUAAAACAAUGAAGAAUUUCUAUUCUUUCUUUAUCUUUGCAACAUAUGUAUUGGGAAAUGUCACAUUUUUUGUGACAAUAAAUUGCAAUAAUAGCAAAUUGUAUGAAUCUGAUGUUAACAUUUUUCCAAAUUAUGGUAAAAUAAACAAAAUGCAAAUGAAAAAUUUCACCUAAAGUCUGACAAAAAAUACGUUUAUGGAAAAUUUACUAUUGAUGUUCAAUUAUGGGGAAGAAGUUAAACUUUUUAUGACUAUCCGAAGAAAGGCUUAAUAAUCUCAGUCGCAUUUCAUUAUUGGUCCAGAAUCUCUCAUAGUGUGUGUGUGUGUGUGUGUGUGUGUGUGUGUGUGUAAACAUCACUGGGAAUCAUGCAGUUUAAAAGUUGCAUAGUUCUGCUUUAAACUGCAGAAAUUCGGUGUCGGUGGAGGAUCCCCCUGUGAGCAGAGAGGAAAGUUGAUGAAAUACGAGGCGGACGCCACCGGAUGGGAGCAGAAGCACCAGAACCGCUGGUCAGACUUUUCCAUUACUGUACCGUUUAGCUGAUCUUUUCACCAUGAAGUGAAAACGUGAAGAAACUGUGUAUAAAAGCAGCUUUUAUAAAAUCUACAUCUGUCAUGUAAAAUCCACACAGGAUGAUUUCAAAGCUGGAG